rnacentral:lncRNA from 1 species
CAGAGAUCCAGUACCAUUAACAACAAAGAGAAGAUACCUCUUGGAGCUAUGCCAUCAGUAUCCAUGAGAUUCUGUAUGCCUAUUACUGAUUCAAAAAUGGAGGUUUCACUCGGAAGAACAACAUCAGCACCUGUAACUGGUUGCACCAUUUCAGAACGUAACACAGUUUCUAAAGUAGGACCACGUUUUGACCAAGGGCAGCAUGAAUUAACUGGGACUCCAGUUACAGACCCAAAGAAUACUGCCUCUAAACGACCUUAUUCACCCACCUCAAUCGGAGAUGAACGCCCCAAAAAAAUAACUGAUGGAGAAAAGCAAGCUGGACAGGACUCGGCAUUCAGUGAUUGUGGCAACCCAGAAGAUGUCAUGAGAGCUACAGGAAAUAACUUCUUUGGAGGAAAAGCCAUGCUUACUCCAGUCAUCAAGACAACAAGAUCACAGGUAUUAUAUAUUGUGUCUACAUAUUCAUAGGAUUUUCAGAAGAAUUUUUAGGAAGAAUUUAGAUUACUAGUUUCUCGGACUUGAUUCAGCAUACAUGAGAUUACACUCUAUAUCUUGCUACUUCCUGACUCACUACUUGGCCCAGUGCAGAGUGACAUCAGUGUUCUGGAGUUUCCCUGGAUGUGGCAGAAGUGUGUUACUACUCUCA